rnacentral:rRNA from 1 species
GAUGAACGCCGGCGGCGUGCCUAAUACAUGCAAGUCGAGCGAACGGACGAGAAGCUUGCUUCUCUGAUGUUAGCGGCGGACGGGUGAGUAACACGUGGAUAACCUACCUAUAAGACUGGGAUAACUUCGGGAAACCGGAGCUAAUACCGGAUAAUAUUUUGAACCGCAUGGUUCAAAAGUGAAAGACGGUCUUGCUGUCACUUAUAGAUGGAUCCGCGCUGCAUUAGCUAGUUGGUAAGGUAACGGCUUACCAAGGCAACGAUGCAUAGCCGACCUGAGAGGGUGAUCGGCCACACUGGAACUGAGACACGGUCCAGACUCCUACGGGAGGCAGCAGUAGGGAAUCUUCCGCAAUGGGCGAAAGCCUGACGGAGCAACGCCGCGUGAGUGAUGAAGGUCUGCGGAUCGUAAAACUCUGUUAUUAGGGAAGAACAUAUGUGUAAGUAACUGUGCACAUCUUGACGGUACCUAAUCAGAAAGCCACGGCUAACUACGU